UGUGGAGUGGGGAUAGUGGGUUUCCCGAGAUGACAACAAAGUCGAGCGUUCGACCGAUUUUGAUAGUUAAUGGUUCAGUCUUGCUACGAAUUUCGAAGAGUACACAUCGUAGUUCACGUAGUAUGCAUUCCUUGGAGGUAAUAGAGAAGAGUCAAUAAUGAAAUUGUGGAGUGGGGAUAGUGGGCUUCCCGAGAUGACAACAAAGUCGAGCGUUCGACCGAUUUUAAUAGUUAAUGGUUCAGUCUUGCUACGUAUUUCGAAGAGUACAUAUCGCAGUUCACGUAGUAUGCAUUCUUUGGAGGUAAUAGAGAAGAGUCAAUAAUGAAAUGGAGGAGUGGGGAUAUUCUCCCACUCGUGACGACAAUAUAAGCGCACAGCUACUGGUUCAGUCUUGCUACGAAUUUCGAAGAGUACACAUCGCAGUUCUCGUAAUACGUAUUCUCCACAAAUAAUAACAAAGAGUUAAUAAUCAAAUUAUGGAGGUGGGGAUACUUUCCCAGCUAUGACGCCAAUAAAAUGGACUAUGACAGCUGCUGGUUCAGUCUUGCCUUGAAUUUCGACGAGUACACAUCGCAGUUCUCGUAGUACGCAUUCUUUGGAAGUAACACAGAAGAGUCGAUAAGGAAAUUGUGGAGUGGGGAUAGUGGGUUUCCCGAGAUGACAACAAAGUCGAGCGUUCGACCGAUUUUGAUAGUUAAUGGUUCAGUCUUGCUACGAAUUUCGAAGAGUACACAUCGUAGUUCACGUAGUAUGCAUUCUUUGGAGGUAAUAGAGAAGAGUCAAUAAUGAAAUUGUGGAGUGGGGAUAGUGGGCUUCCCGAGAUGACAACAAAGUCGAGCGUUCGACCGAUUUUAAUAGUUAAUGGUUCAGUCUUGCUACGUAUUUCGAAGAGUACAUAUCGCAGUUCACGUAGUAUGCAUUCUUUGGAGGUAAUAGAGAAGAGUCAAUAAUGAAAUGGAGGAGUGGGGAUAUUCUCCCACUCGUGACGACAAUAUAAGCGCACAGCUACUGGUUCAGUCUUGCUACGAAUUUCGACGAGUACACAACGCAGUUCUCGUAGUACGCAUUCUUUGGAAGUAAUAGAGAAAAGUCAAUGUAACUACGUAAUUAAAUCCCUUA